GGGGGUGUAGCUCAGUGGUAGAGUGUUUGACUGCAAAUUAAAAGGUCCUUGGUUCAAAUCCUAUUGCCACCU